AGCGGUAACAGAACACAAAGCCUGAUGUGGACAAGACGGUGUCAUUGUUUCGGAUCUUGCGGCAGAGUGGACACACUGUCUUCAGUUUUGAUGAGUACCACCAGUCCAGAAACUGCAGGAAGAACACACCCACAGAGAGACCAGUGGACAGAGAGAAGGCAACACCUCCCAAUACUUUCUUCACUGCUGCAUGCACUUGGUCCUUGAUGCUGUAUCAGGGAGAUGAGAUCUAGGUUUACUGUAUUUCUGAGGUAGAAGAGCUUAGGACAAGAGACAACAGAAGCUUUCACCCAGGGAUCUGUGUUUCAGAAGGCUCAGGUUAGCAGUACCCAAAAUUCACCACUGUCUGAAUAAGGUAAGUUGCUCAUCUGAACAGAUAACUGAUGCCAUCAAUCUCCCUUGGUACCAGCCUCAGAAAUGACAUCAAGUGCUGAACAUGUCAGAGACCAACUAUCCUUACAUGUUUCCAGCCACGCAGCUCUGCAAUUAACUUCAACAAGAAGUCUACAAGACUCACUAUUUCAUUUAUAUUUAAAGUGCAUUAUGACCUUCCCUCUUUUCCUGCUUUUAACCUCUAACACUGAUGGUUUCAUUUCACAGAACCAUCUGUGAAGAGAGAGAACCUGGAACAUUGCCACAAAGCAUUGCAAAAGCUCUAUGUUGAAUGUGUUAGAUCAGGGGUGUUCAACCUCCAGCACACAGGUCAAAUGUGGCCAUGGAGCCAUGGCAUCUGGUCCAUGGGGGCUCCCUAUGGGUUGGCAAAUUUGGUGGUGAGGGAGCAGUGGCAAAUAAUACUAUUACCCCUCCCCUGCUGCCAAAUUCCCAAGCCCUGUGGACCAAAUUGGGGUUGGCCAUGCUCCCCGCCCAGGGCCAGACUGGGGCUGAGCCACACCUAUGGGCUCAGAUCAAGGCUGGGCUAUUCCCUAACCCCCUUCUCCCUGCCACACACAGCUGGACCAGGCCCUGCCUUGCCUGUCCCUCACACUGGAUUGGGCCCAUUCGCUGGAGCACUGUCUGUCUGGCCUGCAGGGCAAAAAGGCUGGGUACCACUGGGUAAGAUUAGUCUAUAACUUACCUGUGGC